rnacentral:rRNA from 1 species
CGACGCCUACGGGGGGCAGCAGUAGGGAAUCUUCCACAAUGGACGAAAGUCUGAUGGAGCAACGCCGCGUGAGUGAAGAAGGGUUUCGGCUCGUAAAGCUCUGUUGGUAGUGAAGAAAGAUAGAGGUAGUAACUGGCCUUUAUUUGACGGUAAUUAAUUAGAAAGUCACGGCUAACUACGUGCCAGCAGCCGCGGUAAUACGUAGGUGGCAAGCGUUGUCCGGGUUUAUUGGGCGUAAAGCG